rnacentral:lncRNA from 1 species
UAACGUCAGUGUUGAGCCCUUGUAACGGAAUCCACAGCUGUCAUUCAGGACUCCAAUCCGCCCCCAGAAUGACCUUCCUCAGCGGACACGCCCCGUCCACCUGUCCCACAGGUGCGCCCGGCAAGAUGGCAGCGGGGCGAGUUUCUGCGGCUCUAGGUGCGUUUGCGUUUUAUUUCUAAUUUUCUUAUAUUUAAGUGCAUAAAAUCAAAUUUCACUUUGAGGAAAGAUAGACAUACAUGUAUUGCUGUUGCAACUUUUGUUAAUUGCAUUCGUUCCUUUUUAAUUUGUAUUUCAGGACGCCGAAAUGAGUGUUCUGUUCGUUUGAGCGUGCUUUCGAAGUUUUAAAAGUCUGCAUGCAGCGUUCUACACUACCUUUCAUGUGCCAAAAUGAUUUCCAGAACGGACCUCCAGUUAUUAAAAGUGAUUUUUCCAAGUUCUGCGGCUCCUGGUUCUCUGCGCUCCGACGAUGUCCUUUCCAACUCCACUCCAGCGACUCGCCGUGCUUUGGCAAAUUAUCCUUGACAAUGUGUGCUUUUCCUUACAUUUCUUUUUGAUACCAGUGGCUUGAUCUGCGAUGUUCCGAUUCAGUGGUGUAUUUUGUUCCUGACCUGCAUGUUUCUUGUUGAUUGCUAUUACUGUAUGUGCUGAGCAUUCUGCAAUAAAAGCUCUUGAUUUCAUUUUGUGCAUCGUCUUGUAUUUUUUCAAGGUGUGUUGGAAGGGUUUGCUCUGGGCCGCUGUCUCACUCCUGUAAGUUUUGGGCUGGAGAAUCUGGAGCGACCACGGGCAGUUUCCAAGAAACCAUGCGAAGGUUUGUUUUGCACUUUGCGCCACGCACCGCAAGGGGACACCCUAUCGCAUUUUUUCUUGG